rnacentral:rRNA from 1 species
AUUUAGAACUAUGAAAGAGUAAAAUCAAUUUUAUAGGUUAAUAAAAAAGGAAAAUUUUAAUUGAAGUCAAAAAAAGAGGAGGAAAAACUAGGAUUAGAUACCCUAUUAUUCAUCUCUGCAGAAGCAAAGCCAGGUAAGUAGUUGUUAUUUACUUAAAAAUUAAAAAAUUUGGCGGUGGUCUAAUCUUGUCAGAGGAACUUGUCUUUUAAACGAUACACCCCGAAGUAUCUUACUUGCUUUAGUACAAACCAGUUUGUAUACCGUCAUCUUAAUCAAUCUUAUAAAGAGAGUAGAAUUGGUGAAUAAAAAUUAAUUAAAAAAAUUAGAUCGUGGUGCAGCAUAUAGGCAAGUUAAGGUGAGUUACAAUAAAGCGAUUUAAACGGAUUUAAGCUUGAAAGGAGGUUCUUAAAGGAGGAUUUGAUUGUAAUUCUAGUUUAACAAGGUAGAGAUAUAUAAGCACUAGACUAUGUACAUAUCGCCCGUCGCUUUCGU